rnacentral:lncRNA from 1 species
UUUUUUUGUCAUUUAAUUCCUAUUGUUAUUAGGUUUGUGCUAGAUUAUUAGGGUUAGUAAUAUUUAGAAUUAGGUUAGGGUUACAAGAAGAAGAAAGAUGAACAAAAAUAAGAAAAUAAGAUUAGGAAAAAGGAAAAUAAGAAGAGGAGGAGAAGAAAAGAAGAAAAAGGAGAAUAAGAAGAGGAGGAGAGGAGAAGAAGAGGAGAAGUAGAAGAAGAGAAGUAGAAG